UACAUAAAUACCUCUUUAUGCUAGUCUAAUGCAUUAAAUUUGGGACAAUAAAAUAUUCUUGCAAUGAAAGAAGCUUAGACAUGUAUUCACUCUUUGACUAAAGGCAAAACGGAAUUUUCUCCUGAUUGUGGAGGGAAGUUGUUGCUACACAUUAGUAGCCAAGUUAGUGACUGGCCACUAGUCAAAUGUCUUGUGCUUGUGCAUAUUUAGGUGUCUCUUUGGUCAAAGAGCAAAGUAUUUAAGGGUUGAUGAAGUCUCCUAAGCAUGAAUUAAACAACCAGUCUUUGAUUUUGGAGUGAUUCUAUAAUUUCCAAAAUAUUGGAUUUUAAGAUUUCUUCGAUGCCACAUUAUGGGUG
rnacentral:misc_RNA from 1 species